AAGUCGUAACAAGGUCUCCGUAGGUGAACCUGCGGAGGGAUCAUUACCGAGUUCAUGCCCUUACGGGUAGACCUCCCACCCUAUGUUAUAUUACCUUUGUUGCUUUGGCGGGCCGCCCGGCUUCGGCCAGGCUACCGGCUCCAGCUGGUAAGCGCUCGCCAGAGGACCCUCAACUCUGAAUAUCAGUGUCGUCCGAGUACUAUACAAUAGUUAAAACUUUCAACAACGGAUCUCUUGGUUCUGGCAUCGAUGAAGAACGCAGCGAAAUGCGAUAAGUAAUGUGAAUUGCAGAAUUCGGUGAAUCAUCGAAUCUUUGAACGCACAUUGCGCCCCUUGGUAUUCCGAGGGGCAUGCCUGUUCGAGCGUCAUUACAACCCUCAAGCACUGCUUGGUAUUGGGCUCCGCUGGCUCCAGCGGGCCUUAAAAUCAGUGGCGGCGCCGUUUGGGCUCUGAGCGUAGUAAAUAUCCUCGCUAUAGAGACCAGGCGGUUCUUGUCAUCAACCCCCAACUUUCUAAGUUUGACCUCGGAUCAGGUAGGGAUACCCGCUGAACUUAA
rnacentral:rRNA from 1 species